UUCAUGUUUGCUGCAGGAGAAUGGUUUAAAGUUUAGGGGAGUUUGUUUUGUAAAGGUGUAUUGAGAAAAAUAGAAAAAUAGAAAACAAAUGAGGAAAAAGAAGAAAGAAAAAGAAGAAAGAAAAAGAUAAAGAAAAAGAAUUGAAUGAAAGAAAGUUGGGAUANAAGUCAGAAAGUGGUUGUAACUUAAGUGAAGCAAAAGAGAAACUUAUGUGCAUGAUUGGAAUUGUUUAAUCUCUUAGCUCAAGGUGCUUUGUUAUCCAUAAAAACCAUGUUUCUUUUUAUUCCAGCCUCAAUACAAGCCAAUGAAAGUCCUUGUGAUGUUGACUUGCUUGUAAAUGUGUUUAAUUUGAUUGAAACGAAUGGCAAAGUUGAUUUGUGCGAUAUUGCAAUAGUUGAGUGAUAGAUACACAUCUUCAUACACCAGUGCAUAAGAGUGAUACACUACCUUGGGUGAGGAUUGGUUCUACAUCAUUCAGUAAAGCAUUCUGCCAUGAUUGUUGAUCUCUUUUAAAAUGUGGCAUUUGACUGAUUGAAUGUAUUGUGAGCACCACAGUGGAAGGCUAAUCUG
rnacentral:lncRNA from 1 species